rnacentral:rRNA from 1 species
UACGGGGGGAGCAAGCGUUGUUCGGAUUUACUGGGCGUAAAGGGCGCGUAGGCGGCGCGACAAGUCACUUGUGAAAUCUCUGGGCUCAACCCAGAACGGUCAAGUGAUACUGUCGUGCUAGAGUGCGGAAGGGGCAACUGGAAUUCUUGGUGUAGCGGUGAAAUGCGUAGAUAUCAAGAGGAACACCUGCGGCGAAGGCGGGUUGCUGGGCCGACACUGACGCUGAGGCGCGAAAGCCAGGGGAGCAAACGGG